AUUGAACGCUGGCGGCAUGCCUUACACAUGCAAGUCGAACGGUAACAGGUCUUCGGAUGCUGACGAGUGGCGAACGGGUGAGUAAUACAUCGGAACGUGCCUAGUAGUGGGGGAUAACUACUCGAAAGAGUGGCUAAUACCGCAUGAGAUCUACGGAUGAAAGCAGGGGAUCGCAAGACCUUGUGCUACUAGAGCGGCCGAUGGCAGAUUAGGUAGUUGGUGGGAUAAAAGCUUGCCAAGCCGACGAUCUGUAGCUGGUCUGAGAGGACGAUCAGCCACACUGGGACUGAGAGACGGCCCAGACUCCUACGGGAGGCAGCAGUGGGGAAUUUUGGACAAUGGGCGCAAGCCUGAUCCAGCAAUGCCGCGUGCAGGAUGAAGGCCUUCGGGUUGUAAACUGCUUUUGUACGGAACGAAAAGCCCUGGGUUAAUACCCUGGGGUCAUGACGGUACCGUAAGAAUAAGCACCGGCUAACUACGUGCCAGCCGCCGCAGUAACAC
rnacentral:rRNA from 1 species